AGAGUUUGAUCCUGGCUCAGAUUGAACGCUGGCGGCAGGCUUAACACAUGCAAGUCGAGCGGAGUGAUGGUGCUUGCACUAUCACUUAGCGGCGGACGGGUGAGUAAUGCUUAGGAAUCUGCCUAUUAGUGGGGGACAACAUUUCGAAAGGAAUGCUAAUACCGCAUACGUCCUACGGGAGAAAGCAGGGGAUCUUCGGACCUUGCGCUAAUAGAUGAGCCUAAGUCGGAUUAGCUAGUUGGUGGGGUAAAGGCCUACCAAGGCGACGAUCUGUAGCGGGUCUGAGAGGAUGAUCCGCCACACUGGGACUGAGACACGGCCCACACUCCUACGGGAGGCAGCAGUGGGGAAUAUUGGACAAUGGGCGCAAGCCUGAUCCAGCCAUGCCGCGUGUGUGAAGAAGGCCUUAUGGUUGUAAAGCACUUUAAGCGAGGAGGAGGCUACUGAAGUUAAUACCUUCAGAUAGUGGACGUUACUCGCAGAAUAAGCACCGGCUAACUCUGUGCCAGCAGCCGCGGUAAUACAGAGGGUGCAAGCGUUAAUCGGAUUUACUGGGCGUAAAGCGCGCGUAGGGCGGCUAAUUAAGUCAAAUGUGAAAUCCCCGAGCUUAACUUGGGAAUUGCAUUCGAUACUGGUUAGCUAGAGUGUGGGAGAGGAUGGUAGAAUUCCAGGUGUAGCGGUGAAAUGCGUAGAGAUCUGGAGGAAUACCGAUGGCGAAGGCAGCCAUCUGGCCUAACACUGACGCUGAGGUGCGAAAGCAUGGGGAGCAAACAGGAUUAGAUACCCUGGUAGUCCAUGCCGUAAACGAUGUCUACUAGCCGUUGGGGCCUUUGAGGCUUUAGUGGCGCAGCUAACGCGAUAAGUAGACCGCCUGGGGAGUACGGUCGCAAGACUAAAACUCAAAUGAAUUGACGGGGGCCCGCACAAGCGGUGGAGCAUGUGGUUUAAUUCGAUGCAACGCGAAGAACCUUACCUGGCCUUGACAUAGUAAGAACUUUCCAGAGAUGGAUUGGUGCCUUCGGGAACUUACAUACAGGUGCUGCAUGGCUGUCGUCAGCUCGUGUCGUGAGAUGUUGGGUUAAGUCCCGCAACGAGCGCAACCCUUUUCCUUAUUUGCCAGCGAGUAAUGUCGGGAACUUUAAGGAUACUGCCAGUGACAAACUGGAGGAAGGCGGGGACGACGUCAAGUCAUCAUGGCCCUUACGGCCAGGGCUACACACGUGCUACAAUGGUCGGUACAAAGGGUUGCUACCUAGCGAUAGGAUGCUAAUCUCAAAAAGCCGAUCGUAGUCCGGAUUGGAGUCUGCAACUCGACUCCAUGAAGUCGGAAUCGCUAGUAAUCGCGGAUCAGAAUGCCGCGGUGAAUACGUUCCCGGGCCUUGUACACACCGCCCGUCACACCAUGGGAGUUUGUUGCACCAGAAGUAGGUAGUCUAACCGCAAGGAGGACGCUUACCACGGUGUGGCCGAUGACUGGGGUGAAGUCGUAACAAGGUAGCCGUAGGGGAACCUGCGGCUGGAUCACCUCCUU
rnacentral:rRNA from 1 species